UUUCUCACGUUUAUCACCACCUACCACUCUCACGUUCUCUCCCCAUCUCUCACCCUCUCACUUGUGAAAAAAGAAACAAAAAAUGAAAAAGAAAAGAAAUUGGAAAACUCCUUCGUCUUCAUCGCCUUCCACCGCGACCCAUCCAUUUCUUCAUCUCUCUCCGACGACCGCUCCUCCAUCAUCAACCAAACACGCAACACCACCACGCGACUCCACGUCCAAAUCGCGCCUCC
rnacentral:lncRNA from 1 species